UGAUUUCUCACCUGCAGCGUGGAGCUACUUGUCUCGGGCAGAACAGUCUCCAGCGGUGUGAGGGUCUGUGGCGUCGGCAAGCUGAUGCCCGCGAAGAACUCGUUCUGCUGGAAGAUGGCCAUGUGUCGCGGUAGCAGAUCACCCAGCGUUCGUCUGAUCAGAUACAACUGGUCUACGUCGGACUUGCCUGGCCAAAGCGCUUCACCUCUUAUCAGCUCGGCGUAAACGCAACCGAUCGCCCAGACGUCGACUGGUGUGCCGUACUGCGUGUCACCCACCUAUACAGCAACUCCGGCGCCCUAUACCACCUUGUCGCCACGUACUCUGUAUAAUUCUCCCCAGGACUGAGCAUCCUUGCGAAUCCAAAGUCGCAGAGCUUGACAACGCCGUCAGCAGUCAACAGAAUGUUUUCGGGCUUGACAUCGCGAUGCACACAGCCCAGCCUGUGACAGUAGGCGACGCCUUGCAGGAUCUGCCAGGUGAGCUGUUUCGUCAUUAAUUCUGGACAGCCGUGUGGGUACUUCUCCAUUUCGUGCAGCAACGUGUGCUCGCAGUACUCAAAAACGAGGUGCAGCUUACGCUUACGCCUGAAUACCUCGAGUAGGUUCACCAGAUUUGGAUGCUUCAGAUUCUAGAAUCGCAAGAGGACACAGUCUUGAUGUCGCCGUUGAUAUUUUUAUCUAUAUGGAUGGGAUCGAUGUGAUGCGCAGUGUUCUUUUAGUCUAAUUCUUUCCGGUACGCCAGUUGAGCGGUAUGAAUAAAAAACGAAUGAAAAGAUAUUCUUAGAUUCGCUAUUUAUAAAAAUAAUUACUAUCGAUGAAUCAAUCGUGUUACAGCACAGCGGCUUCUGAUAUCUUUAGGAUCGCGUCCACCGACAUCAAAUUGCAAAUUAUCAUAUCUCCAAAUUAAUCAACCGGCCGGUAACACGAAAAAAUUCAAUUACUAAAAUUCGAAUACAUUACGUAUACACGUAUAUGUAUGUACAAAGGAUAAAUGCAAUUCAAAUUACAUUGCUUUCAAGGCCGGCGAAUAGCUCUGCAGUCCGCAGGUGAUUAAUAAAAUCAUUUCCGACGCA